UUUUUCAAAUCGAUUUUCCUCUCUUCUCUUCUCUUGUUAACUCCGGUGGCGAUUGAGCGAUUGGUGAUCAUCAUCAUCACGCGUUUAUAUCAUCAAAUUGGAAGAGAUUAUCGACGGAAUUUGUCUCUUAUCCAUCGUGCUCAUCAUCUCAACCGACGGUGCUCAACGUCGACUAGUUUGGUGAACUUAAUCGGAGAGGACUGUGAACCAAAUCGGAGAUGGGGUAACGUGGAUAUAUGAAGCAGAUGUUUUUGGUGAAUGAUAAGUGCUUAACCAUGAUUGAACCACAGAAGAAAUGGUCAAAAAGAAUAGAAGAAUUGAUAAGUGCGUUACUUAGAUUUAGGAGAUCAAGCUCCACGUUUCCAUAUUCCCACUUUGUUAAUAAUGUUCUUUGUUUUUAGGAUUAGUUGUCGAUCCCCUUUGCUUUACUUUGUGUACUUAAAGACUGCCAAGUUAUGAGAAGGAAUUAGACUUGAUUUGCCAAAAGAAACUUGUGUUUGUGUUGUGUGUUUACACAUUCUCUUAGCUUUGAAGAGGGACCACCUAACAGGGAAUCAGAGUUUUGUAAAUAGAACCGUCACGGUAAC
rnacentral:sRNA from 1 species